CUUGCUCCCGGAUGUUAGCGGCGGACGGGUGAGUAACACGUGGGUAACCUGCCUGUAAGACUGGGAUAACUCCGGGAAACCGGAGCUAAUACCGGAUAGUUCCUUGAACCGCAUGGUUCAAGGAUGAAAGACGGUUUCGGCUGUCACUUACAGAUGGACCCGCGGCGCAUUAGCUAGUUGGUGGGGUAAUGGCUCACCAAGGCGACGAUGCGUAGCCGACCUGAGAGGGUGAUCGGCCACACUGGGACUGAGACACGGCCCAGACUCCUACGGGAGGCAGCAGUAGGGAAUCUUCCGCAAUGGACGAAAGUCUGACGGAGCAACGCCGCGUGAGUGAUGAAGGUUUUCGGAUCGUAAAGCUCUGUUGUUAGGGAAGAACAAGUGCGAGAGUAACUGCUCGCACCUUGACGGUACCUAACCAGAAAGCCACGGCUAACUACGUGCCAGCAGCCGCGGUAAUACGUAGGUGGCAAGCGUUGUCCGGAAUUAUUGGGCGUAAAGGGCUCGCAGGCGGUUUCUUAAGUCUGAUGUGAAAGCCCCCGGCUCAACCGGGGAGGGUCAUUGGAAACUGGGAAACUUGAGUGCAGAAGAGGAGAGUGGAAUUCCACGUGUAGCGGUGA
rnacentral:rRNA from 2 species